ACAUGACGAUGUGGGCAUUUAUGGAGUAGGUCCCUAAAACGAUCCCAAGUCUCAAAGAAAAGUUCCCCAUCCAUCUGUGUGAAUCUCAUGAUUGCCCUUCGUAAUUG